rnacentral:rRNA from 1 species
UGGAGGAAAGUAGGGGAUCGAAAGACCUUAUGCUUUUGGAGCGGCCGAUGUCUGAUUAGCUAGUUGGUAAGGUAAUGGCUUACCAAGGCAACGAUCAGUAGUUGGUCUGAGAGGACGGCCAGCCACACUGGGACUGAGACACGGCCCAGACUCCUACGGGAGGCAGCAGUGGGGAAUUUUGGACAAUGGGCGCAAGCCUGAUCCAGCAAUGCCGCGUGAGUGAAGAAGGCCUUCGGGUUGUAAAGCUCUUUCAGUUGAGAAGAAAAGAUUGUGACUAAUAAUUGCAAUUCAUGACGGUAUCAACAGAAGAAGCACCGGCUAACUACGUGCCAGCAGCCGCGGUAAUACGUAGGGUGCGAGCGUUAAUCGGAAUUACUGGGCGUAAAGGGUGCGCAGGCGGUUCUGUAAGUCAGAUGUGAAAUCCCCGGGCUUAACCUGGGAAUGGCGUUUGAAACUACAAGGCUAG